GGUUGUGGAUACUGUUGGUGUCACAUCAUUGCCAUCAGAGGAUUCUGUUUCUGAAAGGAGGAGGAAGCUGGAGUAUCUUGAGAUGCAGGAAGAACUGAUCAAGGAGGAGGAAGAAAAAGAGGAAGAGGAGCUUUCCAGAAUGAAAGAAUCUAAAGUUAAUCAGGAGGAUGUGGCGCUGAAAGAGAUGAUUACACCCACAGCACGUGAAGCACAAGAACUGGCUAGAGCAAGAACAUUGGAGAAACAAGAGCAGCUUUGUGAACUUAGUCGCGCAGUUUUAGCUUCAGCAUCUUCAGUGAGUAGAGAACGUGAAGAGUUCUUAAGCCUAGUCAAUAAGGAGAUAGAGCUUUACAAUAGCACGGUAGAGAAGGAGGGCACAGAUGGUGAAAAAGAGGCCAUUAGGGCUUAUAAAGCAGCCCGAGAUGAAAGUGAUCAUGCUUCUGAAGUGGAUGAGCGUGACAAUAUUUCUUCAGCACUAAUAGAUAAGGUUGAUGCCAUGCUGCAAAAACUUGAAAAGGAAAUUGAUGAUGUAGAUGCUAAAAUUGGUGAUCAUUGGAGACUACUAGACAGGGAUUAUGAUGGCAAAGUUACACCUGAAGAGGUAGCGGCUGCUGCUAUAUAUUUGAAGGAUACAUUAGACAAGGAAGGUGUUCAAGAACUCAUCAGCAAUCUUUCCAAAGAUGGAGAUGGGAAGAUUCUUGUCGAAGACAUUGUCAAAUUGGGCAGUCGAAUGGAAGAUGGCAACAACAGCGCCGAAUAGUGGAAGUUGGAUAUUUUAUACAACUUUUCAUUCAUUCUAUUUUCCUGAUACUAAUACCUGCCUAAUCAGGAUUUUAGUUGGCUGAUCAAGAGCAUGCUUUCAAUUUCUCGAUGUUGGCCUCUAUACCUAGGUACUAUUUUGGAG
rnacentral:misc_RNA from 1 species